UCGUAGACAAUUUGAGGAGAAAUAAAAUGUACGUGCUUAUCAACUGCUCCCGCUGUAGCAAUUAAGCCUUCCCCGGAAAUUAUCUCUGUGAACGGACCUAUUUCCAAUCCAGGAGUAACGUUAUCCAUAGUAUCAGGAUUACCUGCUUUACCUAUGCCACAAAUAUAGCCGUUUUUUAUUCCUAUAUCAGCUUUUACAAUGCCUGUAUAAUCUAAAAUGAUAACAUUGGUGAUAACUAAAUCUGGUGCAUCUAUUUUAGUAUUAGUCUGUCCCAUGCCAUCUCUA
rnacentral:sRNA from 1 species